ensembl:misc_RNA Y_RNA Y RNA
UGUCUCUAAAAGCUUGAGUGGCAGUUUAUCACAACCAGUUACAGAUUUCUUUGCUCCUUCUCCACUCCCACUGCUUCCCUUGACUGGCAUUUG